UAAAAAUGAAGUUUUGAUGUUAGAGGAACUUAUGAGUGUAGAAGAAACUAAAGAGCUACUUAGCUCUAGCUUCAGUAACAAGGUUACAAAUCAGAAAAAAAGAAGAAUGGCACUGAAUUGCUGGAAUAAUUUCCUCUUUGGGCUUUGCCAUAAGAUCUGCAGAAGAAGUAUCAAACAAAUGGCAGAAUAUAAGAAGAAUUGCAAAGGAAGAGGUGACAAGUGAAAAGCUGCAGAGACGCGAGAGUGGUAGGGGCUUGGCAAGUCUAAAGGUUGCAUCUGAGCAAUCACAGAGGAUUGUCUCUGUUCAUGGCAAUGCGAGCUUCAGCGGCAUAACAGGAGGGACGGACACUGACGAAAAUGAUGGUUUGAGCUAUAUUGCUAACAUCCCAUCAGUGGUCCCACAGGAGGGAGAGGAGCCCUCUGAUUUCGAGCCAACAUGCCCAACUGAAGUGAAACAGGACCCCUGCACCUCGAGCUUACGGGCAACGUUUGCAGGGAGAGCUUCUGUACCAAAGCGGAAGAAACCCCUAAGCGAGGAGGUUGCCGAGUGGCAAAUUCGUUUCUUCAAAUCUCAGGUGGCAUUGUCAGAGAAGAAGCAAAAGCUGGUUGAGACACAGCAACGGGUACUAGAGAAAUAUGAGAGGCGUAUGGACAACGAGGACGUUGACUCUUUCAUAAAAAGCCAAUUUUUCAAUUAAAUUAAAUUUAAUUGUAUUGUAUUGUAAAUAGAUAAAUGAUAUAUGUAAAAAUGAAAACGAACAAAACGAACAGUUAAAGCUAUUAUUUAUUACAGCAUGAUGAUGAUGAUGAUGAUGAUGAUGAUGAUGAUGAUGAUGAUGAUGAUGUAAACUUGAUGAUGUGAACAUGAUGAUGAUGAUUAUUAUGAUUAUCUGAACAUGAUGAUGUGAGCAUGAUGAUGAUGAUGAUGAUGAUGAUGAUGAUGAUGAUGAUGAUGAUGUUGAUUAAAAGUAACUGUUAACAAUAAAAUCCCGUGUCGCUGUUCCAGUACCAACAUCAUCCUGCACAUUAUUAUCAAUGUUUUGUAUGACAUCUACAUCAUCUAC